rnacentral:tRNA from 1 species
GGGGUUGUAGUUAAAUAAUAACAUUUAAUUUGCAAUUAAAAAACACUGAAUAAUUAGUCCUCCUCA